AUCAGUCUUAUUCUGCAAGUUUUAACAAGGUGACCUCAGCAGCCUGGGUACAUCUGUGCUCCAGCUUUGCAGAGUCCAUCCUGGAGGCUGUAGACUUGGAUGGCUUGGUUCUCUUUCACUACUCCAACCCUAAGAUGCCUGGCAUUUGUGCUCAUGAAGAUGAGUUCCAGAGGGUCUAAAAAGGAACAGAUUCUCCACACAUUGCAAAAUUAUAAUAACUCAAAAAUUUGGCAAGUGAAGUCAUGAAGAACCAAAUGUCAAGAAUACACUACAACUUUCUAAAGCUAUCGCCAGAUUACCAGGCGGCUUUGGGGAGCACCUUAAAGAAGCAUGUUCAGGUCCCAGCAAGUCCUGUGGUCCCUGUGGUCCCUUGACUCCCACUUCACCACCACUUCUGACAAUUUCUUAAGCAUCUCAAUCUAUUUAUUCCAUUUCAGCUUAAAAUAUCAAAGGUGGUUUCUGCUUCUUGCACUGAAACAGGACUGACACAGUAGGGAUGACAUAUAAACAAAUGUUACAGAAACGUCUUACAAUCUUUCAUAUUAAGAAAUCUGAAUAAACAAAAUUGUAAGUGAAAACUAUUACAGCUCUGAAACAAGUUUUCUUUGCAAUGCAUAUGGAAUUACAUGUGAAUUUAUUUUCUUAAAAGUUGUUGGAAAAAUUAAGGAUGAAUUUUUAUUUUCCCAAAAGUUUGUUCAUUUUUUAAAUUUAUUUUGACAAUCAAACUUUGUUUUUAUUUAGAAAAGAACAGAACUCUUAUGUUUCUUAUUUCUCCAUCUUCAUCACCAGUAAAUCAACUUUUAUCCUUUGGAUAAGCUAAACUUUAUAUAAUAAGUAUUAAAAUUGACUUUUUAAAGGAAGAAUUUCAUGUAAUUUAGUAAAAUGGCCUUUCUCCAUUAAACUGGUAUUGAAUAAAACUAGGAUUGCACUAAUAAAAUAUAAGUUUAUAAUAAGCAUAAAGUUUUAA